rnacentral:tRNA from 1 species
GCCACCCUAGCUCAGUUGGUAGAGCAAGCGCCUCGUAAGCGCUAGGUCGUCGGUUCAAGUCCGAUGGGUGGCUCUA